AAUAAGGUGCCUGAUUAAAGGGCUAUCUUGAUAGGGUAGAUUAUGUAAUUUUUACCCUUAUUA
rnacentral:tRNA from 1 species